CAAUUGUAACACCGAUUAGGUUGGGUGGCAAUGGGCCUCAAGGCAGACCAACAUAGUUGCGUACAAGAUUGCAUAGCCUUAAGUAGAAAUCGAAAACUUGGUACGUUUACCAAAAUCCGGGCGAUCAUUUAAAUUACGCUUUAUGAUCACUAGACGAGGCUAUUUAGGGUGAUCAUGGGAAUUUAAUGUUCAAUUAUAAACCCAAAAUAUAUGCAAUACUUUAUUGAAAACCAUCGUUAUAAACUUCCGGCAUUAUCCAGUCUCCCAGACUUUAUGGGAUAAGUAGGGUGGUGAACCUUUAAAAUCGGCCAGGAGGUUUAGCUGCAAUGUGUGUGGACAAACAUGUGACCAGUUUGUUGAUUUAUCAACCAAAACCAUAAGUAUUAUAUGGUCUAUAUUUUGGUUAGAUUAGUCUACAUAUAUUCCCUUGAAUCCACCGUGAAAAGAGGGUUGUUUCGUAUCUUUGUGAGGGAUGCUUUAGAAAAUCAAUUUCCCUAAUAAGUUGGCUUGGCAAUGUGUGCUUGUAGGCAUAAGAUCCUUACUUCGGGUAAGGAGAUGCUUUAUGGCAUCAUUGUUUGACCCAAGUGUCCCAAAUGGUUGUGCCAAAGCAAGUAAACUGCUCGAAUCACCCAGCUUCAGGCCGGCCCCAUAUGGCGUGUUCCCAGUUGGGAGGCAGCUCAUUGGCCCCAAAACAAAGCUUCAGUGAUUUCAUUUAUGAUCAAUGUCAUUUGGAAUAUCCUUAAAAACCCAAAACGGUGAGAAUAUAAGGUCUCUUAAAUGGUAAUUUAGUACCAUUCAUACAAUGAAGAGCGUGCCAAUGCUCUUAAUCAGGUUGGAUAAACCUGAAGUCGUUGCUAGAGAAGUGAUUUAGGUGUAAAGUUAGUGUGCGUAGUAUCGCAUUCAUCCAGACAACUAACUUUCCGACAUUCCUACCUAAUCACGUGUUUAAUUGAAUUUGGUCACAUAUAUACAAGAAACAUGAUUCAAUUAACUCAUAUUCGAGGACAAUAUCAAUACGAUUAUCCAUAACUAAAACAUACACCAAACUUGAAUCCAAGACCAUGGAAAAAUGUUCACAAAGUAAACCAAAGUUACUAUGGUGGAUUCGGCCAACAAGGCCAUUCAUGUCAACGGUGUUAGGUGGAGCAAAAUUAUUCUCACAUAUUGACUAGUAGAAUGGUACUCCUUAACAACAUUGGUAGGGGCACGAACAGGUGCAUAACCAAUGAUUUAUUCCAGCAAGACGGAAGUAAGUUUAAGGUUUGGGAAUAUUAUCCCUUAUUCUUGAAGUUUUAGGUCUUAGGUGCCAAGGAUCACACUUUGGGCAUGAUGCCAUACAUUGGCAUGCCCUGAUUCUACCAUAAGUUGUAAAAAGAAACU
rnacentral:lncRNA from 1 species